rnacentral:tRNA from 1 species
GGAAGCGUGGCAGAGUGGACGAACGCGCCGCACUUGAAAUGCGGUAAGCCAGCAAUGGCUUCGGAGGUUCGAAUCCUCCCGCUUCCG